UACGAGGGGUGCAAGCGUUAAUCGGAAUUAUUGGGCGUAAAGGGUAGGUAGGUGGUCUCAUUUGUCAGGGGUGAAAGCCUUGGGCUUAACCUGAGAAGUGCCCCUGAAACGGUGAGACUUGAGUUCUGGAGAGGGUCGUGGAAUUCCCGGUGUAGCGGUGAAAUGCGUAGAGAUCGGGAGGAACACCAGAGGCGAAGGCGGCGACCUGGACAGAUACUGACACUCAACUACGAAAGCGUGGGGAGCAAACAGG
rnacentral:rRNA from 1 species